CCUACGGGAUGCAGCAGUGGGGAAUCUUGCGCAAUGGGCGAAAGCCUGACGCAGCCAUGCCGCGUGAAUGAUGAAGGUCUUAGGAUUGUAAAAUUCUUUCACCGGGGACGAUAAUGACGGUACCCGGAGAAGAAGCCUCGGCUAACUUCGUGCCAGCAGCCGCGGUAAUACGAAGGGGGCUAGCGUUGCUCAGAAUUACUGGGCGUAAAGGGAGCGUAGGCGGACAUUUAAGUCAGGGGUGAAAUCCCGGGGCUCAACCUCGGAAUUGCCUUUGAUACUGGGUGUCUUGAGUAUGAGAGAGGUGUGUGGAUCUCCGAGUGUAGAGGUGAAAUUCGUAGAUAUUCGGAAGAACACCAGUGGCGAAGGCGACACACUGGCUCAUUACUGACGCUGAGGCUCGAAAGCGUGGGGAGCAAACAGGAUUAGAUACCCCCGUAGUC
rnacentral:rRNA from 1 species